CGAACGCUGGCGGCAGGCCUAACACAUGCAAGUCGAACGCCCCGCAAGGGGAGUGGCGCACGGGUGAGUAACACGUGGGAACCUACCUUCUGGUACGGAACAACCAAGGGAAACUUUGGCUAAUACCGUAUACGACCUCCGGGUGAAAGAUUUAUCGCCGGAAGAGGGGCCCGCGUCCGAUUAGGUAGUUGGUGGGGUAACGGCCUACCAAGCCGACGAUCGGUAGCUGGUCUGAGAGGAUGACCAGCCACACUGGGACUGAGACACGGCCCACACUCCUACGGGAGGCAGCAGUGGGGAAUAUUGGACAAUGGGCGGAAGCCUGAUCCAGCCAUGCCGCGUGAGUGAUGAAGGCCUUCGGGUUGUAAAGCUCUUUCACCCACGACUAUGAUGACGGUAGUGGGAGAAGAAGCCCCGGCUAACUUCGUGCCAGCAGCCGCGGUAAUACGAAGGGGGCAAGCGUUGUUCGGAAUGACUGGGCAUAAAGGGCGCGUAGGCGGUUCGUUGCCUCAGAUGUGAAAGCCCCGGGCUCAACCUGGGAACUGCAUUUGAUACGGGCGGGCUUGAAUCCAAGAGAGGGUGGUGGAAUUCCCAGUGUAGAGGUGAAAUUCGUAGAUAUUGGGAAGAACACCAGUGGCGAAGGCGGCCACCUGGCUUGGUAUUGACGCUGAGGCGCGAAAGCGUGGGGAGCAAACAGGAUUAGAUACCCU
rnacentral:rRNA from 1 species